CUUCCCAUCUGGUUCUAAUCCUCAGGAAAUACUCUGCACUUCAAUGUUAUUGUUUAGCCAUGAAGUCAGCACACUGCUCAUGACAAUUUAGAGGGAGCUGGUUUUACAGCAAUGGCAUAAGAAGUGGAAAAAUCAACUGAUUAAGCCUGGAAAUGGCUUUCAAAGGAGCAUUUUCCUAUUCCAUUCCUCCUGUACUUCAUCACAGGACAAAAACUUUAAUUGUAACAAGAAGCAGAAAACACAGCAGAGCAAGUUGCAUUUAGCUGAGAAUUUUGCAAUGGCCCUGUUUUUUUCCUCUAUAUACCAGAAGAAAGUACAAUUUGCUAAAAUACAGGUCUCUGGGUCAUCCCAGGAGGACAAAUGCACACAAAGGUACCAAUCAGAUUUUUGCAAAUCAUGCCUCUUGAUUCACAGUCAUGGAGACCUUCAGCACACUCAUCCAGAUCUGGGAAAAAAAUACAACUUUUGUGUUUGAACUUUCUUCCAGUCGCUUCGGCUCCUUCAAGGGAAAGGACGUACAGGCUUCCCUAAGUAAAAGCACUGAAGGAAAAGUCCAAAAUCUAUGAUUAUAUGGAGUUAUCUUGAUCCUCAUGAGCUGUAUCAUUUUGUCGUGUUAAAGAUGAAAUUCACCACUGUGACAGUCUUGGCUUUGCAGUCCCCAUCAAGGGUUAUACCUGCUGACAAAAACACUAAAUACUACUUUUUUUGUGAGCUCUGAAAGAGCAAAUCAUCACCUGCUGGGCUGUUGGCUACAUUCCACUGUAGGGGAUCAAUGCAAGAUGCACAGAAAUAUUUGGAUUAUGUGCUGGUGAUGGAAGGUAGGGAGAAGUUUAUACAUCAGUCAUUACCUUUGCACAUCUUUUGGUCUUCCCUCAGCUCAUAUCCCACGGGGCAGGUGCACUCAUAGAAACCGUAAGUGUUGAUACAACGAAAAGCACACAGCAGGGGGUUCUGAGCACACUCAUUGAUAUCUGAGCAGAGAGAAAAACAACGGGCAUUCUCCACCAUGUUUCAAAAUAAUCACCAAGAAGGUUUUAUUACACCUAUGUUUCUGUUGUCAGCUAAAAUUAUCUGAAAGGUAUUUCAAACCAUUAGCUUUUGAGUAACUAGAGAAAACUCAACAAUGCUCUGCUUAAGAAUAAUGGCAUAGCAUAUACAUAGAACUACUUGCACUUAGUAUGGCAAGUUAGGGCAGGCCUAUUUCAGAUUUUUAUUAUAUGCUCAUAUUUAAUGUACUUCUGUGUGGUGAGAAAUGUCAGCUUCAGAAAGCAAACUAAUUAUGAUUCAUAAAAUAUAACAUUUUUGAGAAUGCCCCACAUGGGGCAUUCCCAUUGAGCGUGGGAAGUCCUGUGAUAAACUCAAAGUUCUGCUUAAAGCAAUUCAGA